rnacentral:rRNA from 1 species
GACGAACGCUGGCGGCGUGCUUAACACAUGCAAGUCGAACGGAAAGGCCCUGCUUUUGUGGGGUGCUCGAGUGGCGAACGGGUGAGUAACACGUGAGUAACCUGCCCUUGACUUUGGGAUAACUUCAGGAAACUGGGGCUAAUACCGGAUAGGAGCUCCUGCUGCAUGGUGGGGGUUGGAAAGUUUCGGCGGUUGGGGAUGGACUCGCGGCUUAUCAGCUUGUUGGUGGGGUAGUGGCUUACCAAGGCUUUGACGGGUAGCCGGCCUGAGAGGGUGACCGGCCACAUUGGGACUGAGGUACGGCCCAGACUCCUACGGGAGGCAGCAGUGGGGAAUAUUGCACAAUGGGCGGAAGCCUGAUGCAGCAACGCCGCGUGCGGGAUGACGGCCUUCGGGGUGUAAACCGCUUUCGCCUGUGACGAAGCGUGAGUGACGGUAAUGGGUAAAGAAGCACCGGCUAACUACGUG